UCAUCAUGUGUCAGCGGGAAAUGGUCCGACAGUCAGAUGACUGUUGUGAAGAUGGAAGAGUGCAGGAUCUACAAUUACACUAAUAAUAAAAUUUUUGAAGUAGUUUGAUUUUGUUUCGCUUUCUGCCAUGUUUUGAAUGUGAUGCUCAGCCUACAACCCAAUGAUUGUGUUUGUAUUAUUAUUUUUUUAAUCAACAAUUAAAAAAUGACAAAACAAUGGACUGUAAGCUGAUUAUUUCUAUACAGUCGUAUGUUAUUAAAGUAAAUUAAAUUGUUAGUUGAAUGCUAGAAAUAACGUUCUGGGAUUAAUAAAACUCCUGGCAAACCAAAAACAAACCAUAAAAAAUAACGUUCUGGGAACCAAAAACUAACGUUCUGAGAACGUUAAGAAAACUUUCCUGGCAAACUAAAAACAAACCAUAAAAACUAACGUUCUGGGAACGUUCUGGGAACCAAACACUAACAUUCAGAAAACUUUCUGGGAACCAAAAACUAACGUUCUGAGAACGUUCUGGGAACCAAAAACUAACGUUCUGAGAACAUUCUGGGAACCAAAAACUAACGUUCUGAGAACGUUAAGAAAACUUUCCUGGCAAACUAAAAACAAACCAUAAAAACUAACGUUCUGGGAACCAAACACUAACAUUCAGAAAACUUUCUGGGAACCAAAAACUAACGUUCUGAGAAC